rnacentral:rRNA from 1 species
AACCAACAGGGAUUGCCCCAGUAACGGCGAGUGAAGCGGCAACAGCUCAAAUUUGAAAUCUGGCCCCCCGGCCCGAGUUGUAAUUUGGAGAGGAUGCUUCUGGCGCGGCGCCGUCCGAGUUCCUUGGAACAGGACGCCACAGAGGGUGAGAGCCCCGUACGGACGGACGCCUAGCCUCUACGAAGCUCCUUCGACGAGUCGAGUAGUUUGGGAAUGCUGCUCAAAAUGGGAGGUAAAUUUCUUCUAAAGCUAAAUACCGGCCAGAGACCGAUAGCGCACAAGUAGAGUGAUCGAAAGAUGAAAAGCACUUUGAAAAGAGGGUUAAAAAGUACGUGAAAUUGUUGAAAGGGAAGCGCCUGUGACCAGACUUGCGCCCCGCGGACCACCCGGCGUUCUCGCCGGUGCACUCUGCGGUGCGCAGGCCAGCAUCGGUUCUCCCAGGGGGACAAAGGCCGCGGGAACGUAGCUCCUUCGGGAGUGUUAUAGCCCGCGGCGGCAUGCCCCUGGGGGGACCGAGGACCGCGCUUCGGCAAGGAUGCUGGCGUAAUGGUCACCAGCGACCCG